CUAUGCGCCUUGCCAGCCCGCUCAGGUGUGCCAGCCGCCGCGGUAAUACAGAGGUCUCAAGCGUUGUUCGGAGUCACUGGGCGUAAAGCGUGCGUAGGCGGUUUCGUAAGUCGUGUGUGAAAGGCGGGGGCUCAACCCCCGGACUGCACAUGAUACUGCGAGACUAGAGUAAUGGAGGGGGAACCGGAAUUCUCGGUGUAGCAGUGAAAUGUGUAGAUAUCGAGAGGAACACUCGUGGCGAAGGCGGGUUCCUGGACAUUAACUGACGCUGAGGCACGAAGGCCAGGGAGCGAAAGGG
rnacentral:rRNA from 1 species